rnacentral:rRNA from 1 species
GAUGAACGCUAGCUACAGGCUUAACGCAUGCAAGUCGAGGGGUAACGAGAGGAAAGCUUGCUUUCCUUGUCGACGACCGGCGCACGGGUGAGUAACGCGUAUCCAACCUGCCCCCAACUAGGGAAUAACCUUGCGAAAGUAAGACUAAUACCCUAUAAUUUCCUCAGAUGACAUCUGACGAGGAAUAAAGAUUUAUUGGUUGUGGAUGGGGAUGCGUCUGAUUAGCUUGUUGGCGGGGUAACGGCCCACCAAGGCAACGAUCAGUAGGGGUUCUGAGAGGAAGGUCCCCCACAUUGGAACUGAGACACGGUCCAAACUCCUACGGGAGGCAGCAGUAAGGAAUAUUGGUCAAUGGGCGGAAGCCUGAACCAGCCAAGUAGCGUGCAGGAUGACGGCCCUAUGGGUUGUAAACUGCUUUUAUACAGGAAUAAAGUUAGCCACGUGUGGUUAUUUGUAGGUACUGUAUGAAUAAGGACCGGCUAAUUCCGUGCCAGCAGCCGCAGUAA